CGAUCACGUGCCCCACCUUCGUCUUCAGCUCGUCCAGCGACGUGAUCUUCAUCCACUUGGGCCGCUCCUGCACCCACCCAACAGUUCAUUCAGUUCCAGGUUUCUAAUUACUUCCUCUGAUUCAUAAUAAGUGUCGCGGGCCGCUCCUGCACCCACCCAACAGUUCAUUCAGUUCCAGGUUUCUAAUUACUUCCUCUGAUUCAUAAUAAGUGUCGCCGAUCUAAGUACAAGUCUGAACUUAUAGUAGAACUUGUUGAAUCACCUUGAGAGCGAACAUCCCGAAGAGGGAUGAUCCCUGCAGGGCGCGGUCGGAUUCGGAGGGCGCGUCGGUGGGGGCGUUGCUGAUGAACAGCCCGUAGAGGCCCAUCCCGAAUAUCAGCAUCACGGUGCCGGCAAGAUACACAUCUGCAUAUGCAUGGCAACGGCCAAGUACCCAAAAAAGCACCAUCAGAUUCUUCAGAGAAAUCUUAGGAAGUGACACUCGAUCGUUCUACAUCAUAUUUUAUCAGAACGGAUCGAUCGGAACAUGUAGAUGAUGAAUGUGAGCCAGCACUCA
rnacentral:lncRNA from 1 species